rnacentral:misc_RNA from 1 species
AACGGUCUAUACCUGCGGUACCUGCGGAAGGAUCAUUACAGAGUUGAAAAACUCCCAAACCCUUGUGAACAUACCUAACGUUGCUUCGGCGGUGCGGCCCUAGGCCGCUGCCUCCCUGUGAGGCGCCCGCCGGAGGUUUACAAACUCUAUGUAUUAUAUUGUCUUCUCUGAGUUGUCUUUUAAAUAAGUCAAAACUUUUAACAACGGAUCUCU